rnacentral:rRNA from 1 species
GACGAACGCUGGCGGCGUGCCUAACACAUGCAAGUCGAGCGAAGUGAGUACUACGGUACGAACUUAGCGGCGGACGGGCGAGUAACGCGUGGACAAUCUACCCUGUAGACUGGGAUAACACCUCGAAAGGGGUGCUAAUACCGGAUAAUGUCGAGAAGCGGAAUCGCUUUUCGAAGAAAGGAGAGACUCCGCCAUAGGGGGAGUCCGCGGCCCAGUAGGUAGGUGGUGAGGGUAAUGGCCCACCAAGGCCACGAUGGGUAGCCGGCCUGAGAGGGUGAACGGCCACACUGGAACUGAGACACGGUCCAGACUCCUACGGGAGGCAGCAGUGGGGAAUAUUGUGCAAUGGGGGAAACCCUGACACAGCAACGCCGCGUAAGCGAAGAAGGCCUUCGGGUUGUAAAGCUCAAUAGUAUGGGAAGAUAAUGACGGUACCAUACGAAAGCCCCGGCUAACUACGUGCCAGCCGCCGCAGUAAAAC